GCCGCGCGCGGAGUCCUCGGCGGACGGAUCGCUCGCCUUCCGUUACCUCCGGGUCCGUUUCCAACUCCGCCGCGGCCGCCUGUCCCGUGUCCUGCACGACCCGGCCGUUCCCGAUACCCAACCGCCUCAAACCGGCUAUAAUAAAUUGCCUCUUGCAUUAUUGCCUCGCUCGGGGUUUUCUUCUCUCUCAGUGCUGCUGCCCAGGUUCCGCCCAUAGUUGGGGACGGUGUUGCUGCCGGGGUUCUCGGGAGGAUCGAUUUGGUUUUUUCAUCUCCGGCGCCUCUUCCCUACUGCCUACUGGAGAUCAAGCGAAAGCCGGCAGAGGAAAUUUGACUUACCAUCAAUCAGAAAGAUGGUAAAUCGAGGGGAACCUAGUGGUAAACAUUUUGGCCCAACGCGACCGAAGCCAACUUGACACGAGGUGUCUAAAAUCCUUAAGAAGUCUCAGAAAGAAUACCAGAAAACUAAGGAAAAUAUGAGAGUAGGUCCACUACCCGCUAAACAAUAUCCUUCGAAGAAUAGUAAUGCUGGUCAAUUGGAUGCUAGGAUAGUGGGAAAAAGUAAUGGCAGGUCAAAUCAAGUUCAACCUACCUCGAGUUUGAAAAAGCACUUGAUUUCCUCUGAAAAACAAAAGACUUCUACUCUCUCUAGUUCACGGAAAGAUACCGAUGCUGCAUUGAAGAAACCACGUCCCCUAAAGAAGAAAGUAGGGGUUCUAGAAAUUUCACCACCAACUCGUUUGAGUGCUAUGCCAGAGUUGGCUCACAAGAAAACCAAGAGAUUAAAGGAGCAAUCAAAAUUUGAUCGGGGGGAGCUAUCAUUGUUCGAAAAGGUGGUACCAAGAAAUUGGAAUUCUCAAACAACACAAAGUUGUUUGCAAUUUCAAAAAAAUCUAAUACCUCAAUGGCAAGUAAGCUCUUGGUUCCUAAGAAUAAUUACUUAGAUGAAUGUAAGGAAAGACACGAUGGAAUUGUGAGUAGCAAAGGAAAGUGUAAAGACCAUGCACGUGGAGAUCAUGACAUUCAUGGUACCCUUCAUAAGCAGGAAGGCACCAAGUCUUUGAAUGGUAACCAACCGAUGCAAGGACUUCAGAGAAAAUCAGGGAAGAAUUCCUCCAAACCAUUUGAUAAGGAUCUUUCAAGAUGCCAAAGGGAUAAGGCAUUACGUAAGGAAGAUGGCCAUUCUCCCCAUAAUGCUGACCAAAGAGGGCUCACAGAGAUAAACUUUGACUUGAGUAACAAGAGUGAAGUUGCUAAAUGUGAUGGAAACACCAAUAAUGGCAUGCCUAAGAAGAGGAAGGUACCAUCGUUGGAAGUAAACCCUAAGACAAUUGAGGUUAAUGUUAGUAAAGAUUUACAAGGGAAUAAUACGGAUAGUAGGCCAAGGAAGAAACAAAGAUGUGUGACAAGUAAAGAUGAAGAGAAAGGAGUAGAAGAUGGUGGUGGUGAUUUUAGUCCUAUGGGUGUAGAAGAUGACAUUGCUAGAUCUUUGUCACAAGCCGCUAUUUCAAAGGAUGGUCAUGCUAAAGUCUCCAUGCCAUUAUUUGUCGAGCAACACUGUUGCUCGAAGCCCAUUGACCUACCUAAUUGGAGCGGAAUCUUUAAAAUAGAUGGCAAGGAAUAUAUAUCACUGGCUGGACAUUUGUCGAACAAAUCAUGCAAGAAAGUGUGGAGUUUAUCCAGACAAUUGACUCCAUUGGUUGAAUUGAAAAGGCUUCUGAGGUUAUAGGUGUGGCCUAAGGCAUGGGAGACAUCAAAACCAAAUGACAACAACAUUGGCAUGUGUUUCUUUCCUUUUGAUAUGAGGCAAGAAAUGACAUGGAUCAACUAAUUAAAGAAGUCAUAGAGAAUGAUUUGGUUUUGCGGGUUAUUGUUGGUGAUGUUGAGAUGUUGAUAUUCCCGUCUAUUCAAUUGCCUAAUCAUCACCGAAGCAUGUAUAGCGCAUUCUCUUGUUAAAAUGUGAUCUCUUCGGAUCACCUAGGACUAAACUGUCAGAUUUAAGAUCCUCUUUGGAUCACCUAGGACUAAACUUUAGUCCAUGUCUGUUUGGAUCCAUGGACUAAAUUUUAGGUGGGACAUAAAAAUAUAGAAAUAUCAUUUUUGCUCUUGGAUUAUGCUGCUUUUGUGCCUACAUGUGCAUAGUGAGGGGUAGUUUGGUCUCUUCGCAGUUUGCUGGUUGGUUUAGUCCAAAUUAGGUUUGGUCUCUUCGUAGUUUGAGGACUAAUGGACUAAACUUUAGUUAGGGUGGAACUAAACUUUGGUCUACAUUUUAGUCCAUCUGUUUGGAUCACCUAAUGGACUAAACUUUAGGCGAAGCUUAGGGUGUGUUUGGUUCAGCUGUGGAUUCCUGAAAAUCUGAUUUCUGGAAUCAGCUGUGGGAAAGCUGCUGUGAGCUGACAGCUGUGGGAAAGCUGAAAGCUGUUUGGCUGAAACAGCUGUCAACUGUGGGAUUCUGUGAGAAAUGUCAGUUUUGCCCCUGAGACUGUAUAGGACUGUUUAUAUGCUGAUUAAUUGUAAGGAUACGUAGAUGACCGUUUUGGAGAGAAAAUUAUCAUAAUUAGAAUUGUUUGACAUAUAUAAUUAAUACAAAAGA